CUUGGUCAUUUAGAGGAAGUAAAAGUCGUAACAAGGUCUCCGUAGGUGAACCUGCGGAGGGAUCAUUACAAGAACGCCCGGGCUUCGGCCUGGUUAUUCAUAACCCUUUGUUGUCCGACUCUGUUGCCUCCGGGGCGACCCUGCCUUCGGGCGGGGGCUCCGGGUGGACACUUCAAACUCUUGCGUAACUUUGCAGUCUGAGUAAACUUAAUUAAUAAAUUAAAACUUUUAACAACGGAUCUCUUGGUUCUGGCAUCGAUGAAGAACGCAGCGAAAUGCGAUAAGUAAUGUGAAUUGCAGAAUUCAGUGAAUCAUCGAAUCUUUGAACGCACAUUGCGCCCCCUGGUAUUCCGGGGGGCAUGCCUGUUCGAGCGUCAUUUCACCACUCAAGCCUCGCUUGGUAUUGGGCAACGCGGUCCGCCGCGUGCCUCAAAUCGUCCGGCUGGGUCUUCUGUCCCCUAAGCGUUGUGGAAACUAUUCGCUAAAGGGUGUUCGGGAGGCUACGCCGUAAAACAACCCCAUUUCUAAGGUUGACCUCGGAUCAGGUAGGGAUACCCGCUGAACUUAAGCAUAUCAAUAAGCGGAGGAAAAGAAACCAACAGGGAUUGCUCUAGUAACGGCGAGUGAAGCAGCAAUAGCUCAAAUUUGAAAUCUGGCGUCUUCGACGUCCGAGUUGUAAUUUGUAGAGGAUGCUUCUGAGUGGCCACCGACCUAAGUUCCUUGGAACAGGACGUCAUAGAGGGUGAGAAUCCCGUAUGCGGUCGGAAAGGCGCUCUAUACGUAGCUCCUUCGACGAGUCGAGUUGUUUGGGAAU
rnacentral:sRNA from 1 species